AACCUCCGCAAUGUGGGAAAUCGCGACGGGGGGAUCCCAAGUGCCAUUCUUAACGGGAUGGCUUUUCAUUAGUGUAAAGAGCUUUUGGAAUAAGGGCUGGGCAAGACCGGUGCCAGCCGCCGCGGUAACACCGGCAGCUCUAGUGGUAGCAGUUUUUAUUGGGCCUAAAGCGUCCGUAGCCGGUUUAAUAAGUCUCUGGUGAAAUCCUGUAGCUUAACUGUGGGAAUUGCUGGAGAUACUAUUAGACUUGAGACCGGGAGAGGUUAGAGGUACUCCCAGGGUAGAGGUGAAAUUCUGUAAUCCUGGGAGGACCGCCUGUUGCGAAGGCGUCUAACUGGAACGGUUCUGACGGUGAGGGACGAAAGUUAGGGGCGCGAACCGGAUUAGAUACCCGGGUAGUCCUAACCGUAAACGAUGCGGACUUGGUGUUGGGUGGCUUUGAGCUGCUCCAGUGCCGAAGGGAAGCUGUUAAGCCCGCCGCCUGGGAAGUACGGUCGCAAGACUGAAACUUAAAGGAAUU
rnacentral:rRNA from 1 species